UCGGGAAUUUUGGGCAAUGGGCGAAAGCCUGACCCAGCAACGCCGCGUGAAGGAUGAAGUAUUUCGGUAUGUAAACUUCGAAAGAAUAGGAAGAAUAAAUGACGGUACUAUUUAUAAGGUCCGGCUAACUACGUGCCAGCAGCCGCGGUAAUACGUAGGGACCAAGCGUUGUUCGGAUUUACUGGGCGUAAAGGGCGCGUAGGCGGCAAUUCAAGUCAUCUGUGAAAUCUCCGGGCUUAACUCGGAACGGUCAGAUGAUACUGCUUUGCUAGAGUGCAGAAGGGGCAAUCGGAAUUCUUGGUGUAGCGGUGAAAUGCGUAGAUAUCAAGAGGAACACCUGAGGUGAAGACGGGUUGCUGGGCUGACACUGACGCUGAGGCACGAAAGCAUGGGGAGCAAACAGGAUUAGAUACCCUAGUAGUCCCUGAGCGGGCUGGCAAGGCGCAU
rnacentral:rRNA from 1 species